GCGGGAAAAGCCGCAGCUGCAGCAGGGUUGAAGAGGUGAUUGGACAGUGAGGGAGCCAAGCCUAAUUUAUGGACUCAGAGUUUGGAGAAACAAACUGCAUGUAUCUACCGUACCGCUGCGUCUCUCUCUCUCUCCUCUCCUCUCCGACAGUGAGUUUGACAAGCAUCGCCUCCUGUCAAUUACAGAGUCUGAAUGUCCGCGCGGGAUUGCAGCCACAGGCGUCAUGAGAGAUCGGCCCGCUGAAGCCAUCCCAUGAAGAGAGCCUGGUUUUUCACAGAAUCUUGCUUUGAUUUGAAGGACUUUUUAUGUUUCUUGAAAAAGACGUGUAUGCAAGUAUGGCGCGUGUGUCUUCCCUCAGCUAUCCUCUGAGCUACGGAAACAAUCAGCUGUGUGGGUCCUGUGUGCAGGAGAUAGCAGAAUUGGCUGUGAGGAAUGAUCUUUGCCGUUGAGCAGAAUACCUGCUCAUCUCUCACCGUCUGCACAGAGCCGCCCCAGCCAACACUUCAAACCGCCGCAGAGACAUAACCUACACAGAGAUGCAUUUGUCCUUGAAACAAUCUCUCUUUCAUUAAAGUUCUCACUCUGUGACUGACAAAAUAUUUCCAAAGGACAUGAUACACCAAGCUUAAGAAAAGAAAAGAAAAAGAAAAUAAAUAUAUUAUUAACAUUUUAUUUUUCUUUCAAAUUAAUUUUUAUUCAGCAAUU